rnacentral:rRNA from 1 species
GUCGAGAAUCUUCCGCAAUGCGCGAAAGCGUGACGGAGCGACACCGCGUGAUGGAUGAAGUCCUUCGGGGCGUAAACAUCUUUUAUAAAGGAGGAAAUUUUUGACGUUACUUUAUGAAUAAGGGGCUCCCAAUCUCGUGCCAGCAGGAGCGGUAGUACGAGAGCCUCAAGCGUUAUCCGGAAUCAUUGGGCGUAAAGGGUGCGUAGGUGGUUUGAUUAGUCUCCCGUUAAAACUUCGAGCUUAACUCGAAAAGAGCGGGGGAAACGGUCAAACUAGAGUAUGUGAGAGGUGUGUGGAACUCAUGGUGUAGGGGUGAAAUCCGUUGAUAUCAUGGGGAACACCAAAAGCGAAGGCAGCACACUGGCACAUCACUGACACUGAGGCACGAAACCUAAGGUAGCGAAUGGGAUUAGAAACCCUAGUAGUCC